UUUCCUUUGGCUCGAGGUGGGAGAGGAAAAAUGGCGUCGGUCUGAGGCUGGUGAAGAAGGGGACGAGGGGACCUUCUCCGUCCUUUCGGGGGGAGACAGGAGUUUCUUCGGAGGAAUGUGCGGAGAUAAAUAUUAAAAAGAACACAACCUGGCUGUUUUAUGUGGCGGAAAAAGAGCAAUCGCACAGUUUAUUGAGAGACGCAUCACCGCGGACGAGGAAAUCCUUUGGCUUUUGUUUACCAUUGUGAGCAGCUGCAGCUAAAGCCACAGCUAAGGCAUCAUGAACACAGAAGAUGAACCAGCACUAGCCCCUAUUGGAGUCUCCUUCUGUACCCAUUCGACCGCUUCUGCUGAAAAUGAGAGUCCAUUAUGAAGAUGACCUCAUUUGGGCUUUGGGACAUCGCUGCCCAUCCUUCGGCAGUUUUUUUCCAAUCUCUCCCUUUCUCGCUCUCCUCCCUCCAGCCCUGUCCCACUUCUGCAAAUGAAUCUGUGAGCAGAAUCAUUUUUGUCUGACCAUUAGGCGCAUACUGGCUAAAUAUGUAAGGUUAACUCUUUCUUUUGGUCAUAAAAAUUCACCUUCUUUCCUGAUACUUUUACGAUACAUUUUUGUGUGUGAACAUAGUCUGUCAAUCAGAAAAAAACGUUUUGAAAGCUUAAAAUAUAACAAUAGUUUAAGAACAAAUGGCUACCCUUUCCUAUUUUUUCUAUGAAGACACAUCUACUGUAGCAAAGAUCAAGGCCUGUGAUUCAGAUAGCCUCAUAAUAUAGUUUUGUUUUGCACUACCUCAUUGCCAAAAAAUAGUAAAAUUAGUAGCAGUUUUAUACUUGAGUAAAAUGCCUUUGGUUCAUGGCUAGCAGUAGUCAGAGUUCAGAAGGUGGUGAUGGGGAAAAGCCCAAAAUAUAGUUUAAACUUUAAAGGAAUUGUCUUCUAUGCAUCAUUGUCUGUGGAGCUUGCCAAAAUAUUGAUUUUAUUUUGAAAAUUCUCCCUGGGUGUCUUUUAGAAUUGGAAACUUGUUAAGUUUAGUCAGAGGUAAUAGAAUCCAAUAACUAAUCAUAUGAUGUUUUAUAUUCGACUUUUAUGUUUGCCAUUUUGCUUUUUUGAACUAAUCUAGUUGUCUCAGAAUCAAUGGAAUUUUUAGCUGAUCAUUUAAAAUAGUCUUUAAAAGUCCAUUAGUGCCAUCUCUUGGGCACUUCAAUCCUUCAUAUAUUUUUCAUUAUUUUAUGGAUUGAGUUUACCCAUUAGAAAAACCCUGGUUCCACUCAUCUAAAAUAUCUUCUAUUUUCUUUUCUAUUGUCUUGCUUGUAUUUUAACAUGUUAAACCGGGAUUUGUGCAAUAUUUUAUCUAAAAACUGUCAUGUUGUUGACCAAACUGUAUAUUGUAAAAAGUAAACAAGUGACAAGUUGUUUGAAAAGCAACAAAAUCACCAAUGUCUUCCAUUAAGAUAUGUAUAGACUCAUGUGCAUUAGCAUUUAGCUUAGCCAACAUUAUUGUAGCCAUGCAUGACCAGUAGUAACGCUUGCUUUAUGACAAAUAAAUAGUAAAAUAAACCCACUUUUAGACUUAAGAUGGAGCUCAGAUGUGUAGCGUUUAAUCAAUCCAGGUGUUGGGUAAUUUAAAGUUAUGUAAAAAGAUUAGCCGUCUAAUGCCAUGUUCAUGUGGUCCUCAGAUUUUUAAAAUGUAUUUUACUUUGAAAGCUAUUUGGUAAAGCAGUAUGGCUACUCAUUUAAGGGUGUUUCUUUCUACCCAUAGUGUUUCUGAUGCAUGAUGCUGAAAUGUAAAAGACUAGACUUGUUUUGAGGUGAAUGUUUCUGAGGACACCAUGAAUGUGGCUUUAGCCCAGUAUCCAUUUAACCUAUAUUCCCAAACCAACAGUAUAAAAUCUUAAGGUUAUGCAAUUAAGUCUUGCAUGUGUGCUCAAAUACUUAAAAAUGCAAACCAAUUGUAGAUUAAUCUUAAGCACCCAAAUGCCAUGGAUUUUCUACAGGCAUCCCACUCAAAGCUUUAGUGAACAAAAAUAAACUUGAUGUAGCUUUUUGAUUUGAGAUCUUGCAUAACAUAAACUCAUUACAUUUUAUCCAUACAAUUGUAUUGGGUUAGAUAUUUAGAAGCAAUAACCUACAAAUGCAUGAUUUAAUACCAGGGUGUAGUGGUUAAGGGUAGCAUAUAUAAGUGAUAGUGUAGCCCUCCUUAAAUCUACUUUUUCUUUCUUUUCUUUUUUUUUUUUUUUUUUACUUUUGAAGAAUACGGACUGUGUAGCAUAGUAGAAACACACUUACCCAUAUGUUUAUAUUUUUCAAAGACUAUUUUCCCAAUCUUGCACCAAAAUACUUUGCAAAAAUAUGCUCUAUUGUACAGAAACCCAUUCAAUGACAACAUAUGUUCUCUAAAAAUAUAGACUUUAAGUAACUGUGGCUGCAAAACUGACAUCCAAUCAUACUUGACGCUUGUUUGGAAAAGCACUUUGUAAUAUUUUGCCUCAUUUAAGACCAUUUCUCAUCAUUGUGUCUUAAAAUUCAGUUUUCUCUUCAAACACUGUAAAGUGGGAAUUUAUAAUCAAAAACGUACAUAGGCAACAAUGAUAUUGAUGUAUGGGUUUUAAAAAUAUGCAUGAUUUAGGUGAAAAAUGAAUGAUUUGUAUUGCAUGCAAUAAUCCAACUUUGUAAUGUGAAUGGGUGUAACCUUAGGGUGUUCAUAUCAGAUGUUUGUUGUGAUAAGUGAUGAUUUGGGGACAAAGUUUGGCACAGCAAGGAGCAGUUUUUGUACUGUAGGAAAGGACAUCUUAAAUCUUGAAUGUAAUCUUAUAAAUGGUACAGCUUAGUAUUUUGGGAAUUACUUAAAUUUGGUGUAUGUGUAACAGAAGCAUAAGUUCAUCUAAGUAUGCCUCUAAAAUUAUCUCAUAUAUACAGGCUUGUGAUUGGUCAUUAACAAAAUAUGUAAUUGAGCUUUUGUUAAUGAGCUCAAUUACAAGUCAGAAUAAAGAUGUGACAGCCAUCUUCUGGCUUGUUAGUCAUACGUGUUAUGAUACCAAAGUAGUUGGAUGCAAUGCAACACUACUUGGGAAAAAAAAUAGGCAGGAAAGGCUUAUUUUUGUCAUAAACAGUUUUUUAGCUUAGUGUAAUCAUCAGUAACAACAUAAUGGGGCAGAUUUAUAUUUGUUCUGUCACACUUGUUCUGUCAACCUUUGUUCCUAAGGAUAAAUAAUGGUAAAUGUUACAAAGUGAUUAUUGACUUUGGUGAUCACGUUUCCACUGUUUGCGGUGGACUGUGUAGAAACUAUGCACUCCAGUGAGAGGACGUGGGCAUGCUUCUAUCUGUGAGCCUCUUCAUCUGGAUUUGUAUUAAGGAAAAAAACAGCAAUAAAAUGCAGCAUGGUGCCAAUACGA